rnacentral:rRNA from 1 species
CGUGUAGGCGGUCAGGUAAGUGGAAUGUGAAAUGCCCCGGCUCACCCGGGGACCGGCAUCCCAAACUGCCUGGCUUGAGUAUGGGAGAGGAUGGAGGAAUUCCUGGUGUAGCGGUAAAAUGCGUAGAUAUCAGGAGGAACACCGGUGGCGAAGGCGUCCAUCUGGCCCAAUACUGACGCUGAGGCGCGAAAGCUAGGGGAGCAAACGG